rnacentral:rRNA from 1 species
UACGGGGGGAGCAAGCGUUGUUCGGAUUUACUGGGCGUAAAGGGCGCGUAGGCGGCGUGACAAGUCACUUGUGAAAUCUCCGGGCUUAACUCGGAACGGUCAAGUGAUACUGUCGUGCUAGAGUAUAGAAGGGGCAACUGGAAUUCUCGGUGUAGCGGUGAAAUGCGUAGAUAUCGAGAGGAACACCUGCGGCGAAGGCGGGUUGCUGGGCUGAUACUGACGCUGAGGCGCGAAAGCCAGGGGAGCGAACGGG